rnacentral:lncRNA from 1 species
UUUCUCUUCUUUCUUCUGCUCUUCAAUUUGCCUGCAGCACUCUUCCUAUUGCUAACCCAGUUUUGCUCAUGCUUUGAGGUUCUUCCCAGGCUGAAGAUAAGGGUGUGUAGGAAGAUGGGGACCAGAAAAAAGGAGGGAAAACAUCUUUAAUAGAAGGAAGUAACUGGAGGACCUGAAGAAAGCCGUUUUAAUUUUUUAAGAAAGUUGAGGUUUAAAAGUCAGAGGGCAGAAAAAAACCCCACAAACUGUAUAAAAAAGAAAGAGGGGGUGGGGUAGAGCUAAUUCAAUUAAUAGCUUGCAAUAAAGAGAAGAGAA